rnacentral:rRNA from 1 species
CCUACGGGAGGCAGCAGUGGGGAAUAUUGGACAAUGGGCGAAAGCCUGAUCCAGCCAUGCCGCGUGUGUGAAGAAGGCCUUCGGGUUGUAAAGCACUUUCAGUGGGGAAGAAAGCCUUGGGGCUAAUACCCUCGAGGAAGGACAUCACCCACAGAAGAAGCACCGGCUAACUCCGUGCCAGCAGCCGCGGUAAUACGGGAGGGUGCGAGCGUUAAUCGGAAUUACUGGGCGUAAAGCGCGCGUAGGCGGUCUGAUAAGCCGGUUGUGAAAGCCCCGGGCUCAACCUGGGAACGGCAUCCGGAACUGUCAGGCUAGAGUGCAGGAGAGGAAGGUAGAAUUCCCGGUGUAGCGGUGAAAUGCGUAGAGAUCGGGAGGAAUACCAGUGGCGAAGGCGGCCUUCUGGACUGACACUGACGCUGAGGUGCGAAAGCGUGGGUAGCAAACAGGAUUAGAUACCCGAGUAGUC